GAUGAACGCUGGCGGCGUGCCUAAUACAUGCAAGUCGAGCGAACGGACGAGAAGCUUGCUCCUCUGAUGUUAGCGGCGGACGGGUGAGUAACACGUGGAUAACCUACCUAUAAGACUGGGAUAACUUCGGGAAACCGGAGCUAAUACCGGAUAAUAUUUUGAACCGCAUGGUUCAAAAGUGAAAGACGGUCUUGCUGUCACUUAUAGAUGGAUCCGCGCUGCAUUAGCUAGUUGGUAAGGUAACGGCUUACCAAGGCAACGAUGCAUAGCCGACCUGAGAGGGUGGUCGGCCACACUGGAACUGAGACACGGUCCAGACUCCUACGGGAGGCAGCAGUAGGGAAUCUUCCGCAAUGGGCGAAAGCCUGACGGAGCAACGCCGCGUGAGUGAUGAAGGUCUUCGGAUCGUAAAACUCUGUUAUUAGGGAAGAACAUAUGUGUAAGUAACUGUGCACAUCUUGACGGUACCUAAUCAGAAAGCCACGGCUAACUACGUG
rnacentral:rRNA from 1 species